UCUUGAAACUCAGUCUGCAUUUGUUUCGUUGAAGUUUCUGGCAGACGCCACGCACGAAAGCAAACACAGUUCAUUUCUUCUUUUCUUCGUUUCUUCAUUUCUUCUUUCACUGUUAUAAAUAGCACCAACCUUUCUCACACUUCAAAACACAUUUUCUCACAUACCCUUUUAUCUGCUCAACUUUUCCACAAUUUUCUCGCCGGAAAAAUGAGGACUGUGAAUUUUGUCGCCGCCGUCCCACUUCUCACUUUGUUGUUCAUGGCAAUCUCUCAUUUGGGUCAUGCUCAGGAUUUGCCUUCUCCAGCACCUUCUCCUACCAGUGAUGGAACCACAAUCGAUCAAGGAAUUGCUUACAUUCUUAUGCUGGUGGCUCUGGGCAUCACAUAUAUGAUUCAUUGAUUCUUCUUUUCUUUAUUGCUUUUAUCAUGGUCGUAUUUAGAGAAAAAUUCAGAAUUUUUGUGCUGUAAUUAUUAUCAUUAUUGAUGAAAUUCAAUAUUAUUCGUUCUUAUA